GAUGAAGAACGUAGCGAAAUGCGAUAAGUAAUGUGAAUUGCAGAAUUCAGUGAAUCAUCGAAUCUUUGAACGCACAUUGCGCCCCUUGGUAUUCCGAGGGGCAUGCCUGUUCGAGCGUCAUUAUAACCCCUCAAGCUCGGCUUGGUGUUGGGGCCUGCCGCACGGGCAGCCCUUAAAAUCAGUGGCGGUGCCAUCUGGCUCUAAGCGUAGUAAUUCUUCUCGCUAUAGAGUCCCGGUGGAUGCUUGCCAUUAACCCCCAAUUUCAAUGGUUGACCUCGGAUCAGGUAGGGAUACCCGCUGAACUUAAGCAUAUCAAUAACGGAGGA
rnacentral:misc_RNA from 1 species